GGGUAAGCGAGUGGAUCCCUUCGGGGUGAAGCUCGUGGAACGAGCGGCGGACGGGUGAGUAACACGUGGGCAACCUACCUGUAAGAUCGGAAUAACCCCGGGAAACCGGGGCUAAUGCCGGGUAAUACUUUUCUUCGCAUGAAGGAAAGUUGAAAGAUGGCUUCUUGCUAUCACUUACAGAUGGGCCCGCGGCGCAUUAGCUAGUUGGUGAGGUAACGGCUCACCAAGGCGACGAUGCGUAGCCGACCUGAGAGGGUGAUCGGCCACACUGGGACUGAGACACGGCCCAGACUCCUACGGGAGGCAGCAGUAGGGAAUCUUCCGCAAUGGACGAAAGUCUGACGGAGCAACGCCGCGUGAACGAUGAAGGUCUUCGGAUCGUAAAGUUCUGUUGUUAGGGAAGAACAAGUACCGUGCGAAUAGAGCGGUACCUUGACGGUACCUAACGAGGAAGCCCCGGCUAACUACGUGCCAGCAGCCGCGGUAAUACGUAGGGGGCAAGCGUUGUCCGGAAUUAUUGGGCGUAAAGCGCGCGCAGGCGGUUCCUUAAGUCUGAUGUGAAAGCCCACGGCUCAACCGUGGAGGGUCAUUGGAAACUGGGGAACUUGAGGACAGAAGAGGAGAGUGGAAUUCCACGUGUAGCGGUGAAAUG
rnacentral:rRNA from 1 species